rnacentral:rRNA from 1 species
AAAGAGCUAAUUAAUUAAGAAAGUUAAUGUUGUAAAAUUAUUUUUAAUAAUUAAUUUGAAAUGAAAUGUUAUUCGUUUUUAAAUAUAUCUAGUUUUUUUAGAAAAAAAUUUAAUUUUAAAUUUUUAUUAAAAAAAAUUAAUUAAAUAAUUUUUUUAAGUGAAAAUUUUAUAUUUUAAGGGAUAAGCUUUAAUUUAAAUAAUUAUAAUGAAUUAUUAAAUUAUUUUUGAAAAUUUUAUAAUUUAAAUUGUUAAUAAAAUUUAAUUUAUUAUAAAUAAUUUCAUUAAUAAAAAAAUUUAAUUUAUAAUUUAAUUUUAUAUAAAAAAAAUAUUUUUAAUAAAAAAUAAUAGAUUAUAAUGAUAAAAUUAGUAUAUUUAUUUAUAAUAAAGUUUAAUAAUUAAGAAUUAACUAAAAGGAAUUCGGCAAAUAUUUAUAUUCACUUGUUUAACAAAAACAUGUCUUUUUGAAUUUAAUUUAAAGUCUAAUCUGCCCACUGAUAAUUAUUAAAGGGCUGCAGUAUAUUGACUGUACAAAGGUAGCAUAAUCAUUAGUCAUUUAAUUGAUGACUUGUAUGAAGGAUUGAAUGAAAUAUAAACUGUCUCUUUAUUAAUUUAUAGAAUUUAAUUUUUUAAUUAAAAAGUUAAAAUUUUUUAAAAAGACGAGAAGACCCUAUAGAGUUUUAUAAAUAAAAUAAUUUUAAAUUAUUUAUUAAUAAUUUUAUUAAAAUUAUUUUAUUUAUUUUGUUGGGGUGACAAAAAAAUAAGAAAAACUUUUUUUAAAAUUUUAACAUGAAUAAGUGGUUUUAUGAUCCAAUUUUAUUGAUUAUAAGAAAAAAUUACCUUAGGGAUAACAGCGUAAUUUUUUUUUUUAGUACAAAUAAGAAAAAAAGUUUGCGACCUCGAUGUUGGAUUAAGAUAAAAUUUAAAUGCAAAAGUUUAAAAUUUUG